UACGGGGGGGGUAAGCGUUGUUCGGAAUUACUGGGCGUAAAGGGCUCGUAGGCGGCCAACUAAGUCGGACGUGAAAUCCCUCAGCUUAACUGGGGAACUGCGUCCGAUACUGGAUGGCUUGGAUUUGGGAGAGGGAUGCGGAAUUCCAGGUGUAGCGGUGAAAUGCGUAGAUAUCUGGAGGAACACCGGUGGCGAAGGCAGCCUUCUGGGCCAACACUGACGCUCAUGCACGAAAGCGUGGGGAGCAAACAGG
rnacentral:rRNA from 1 species